GUAUUGUAAUAAGAUUUUAAUUGAAUGCUAAAAGAAUGGAAAUUUAAAAAAAAACUUUUUUAAAAAUAAAAAUUGAAUUUUUUUUAAUUUGUGCAAAAACAAUUAUAUUUAUUAAAGACAAGAAGACCCUAAGAAUUUAAGAUUUUACAAUUAAAAAGUUUUUUUUUUUAAAAUCUUGAUUGGGGCGAUCAAAAAAUAUUAAUAACUUUUUAAAAUUUAAAUUGAUCUAUUAUUAAUAAACUAAUGAAUUAAAUACUCUAGGGAUAACAGCGUAAUAAUUUUUGAUAGAUCUUAUUGACAAAAUAGUUUGCGACCUCGAUGUUGGAUUAGGAUUCUUUUUUAAUGAAGAAGUUAAAAAAAGAAGUUUGUUCAACUUUUAAAUUCCUACUUGAUCUG
rnacentral:rRNA from 1 species